GAGUUUGAUCGUGGCUCAGGAUGAACGCUGGCGGCGUGCCUAACACAUGCAAGUCGAACGGACUUACAUUGAAGCCUAGCGAUAUGUAAGUUAGUGGCGGACGGGUGAGUAACGCGUGGGUAACCUGCCUUGUACUGGGGGACAACAGUUGGAAACGACUGCUAAUACCGCAUAAGCGCACAGCUUCGCAUGAAGCAGUGUGAAAAACUCCGGUGGUACAAGAUGGACCCGCGUCUGAUUAGCUGGUUGGUGAGGUAACGGCCCACCAAGGCGACGAUCAGUAGCCGGCCUGAGAGGGUGAACGGCCACAUUGGGACUGAGACACGGCCCAAACUCCUACGGGAGGCAGCAGUGGGGAAUAUUGCACAAUGGGGGAAACCCUGAUGCAGCAACGCCGCGUGAGUGAAGAAGUAUUUCGGUAUGUAAAGCUCUAUCAGCAGGAA
rnacentral:rRNA from 1 species